ACAUGAUCUUUAUAACCUAGAAAAAGGUAGAGGUACAGAUGAUAAUAGAUGUAAAAAAUAAAGGCCUGCAGAGUGGCAAACGAAAAUCUAUUCUAGUGAAACCACCGAGUUAUCAUCAUUAACAACCUCAUCAAACACCAAAGAUUCGCCGCCUUCCUGUGCUCAAGAUUCGCUUUGCUGAAGUCCCUUUCGUUCCCUUCCUGCAUAUAUAACACUCUAAAUAGUUAUGUAUUAAUAAUUUUAGCUCUUUUUCCAUUUUAUUAAUAAAUAUAUGAAAAAAUUUGAUGAUAAAAAAUCAAAAAAUGAAUAAAAUAUUUCACUAUGUUUCAAUAUAAUUUAGAUUUUAAAUAAUUAAAAAUUAAAAUAUAAAAAAUAUUAUUUAGAAUUAUAGUAGAAUCAAGUAUAUUUUUUUAUUGAAAAUCUUUCUUGAAAAAAGGCAGUAUGUCAGGCUGGCACAAUAUAGAAUGAUUCGGGCCAGUACAUCUACCUUAUUAUCUUGAGAUUCAUAGGAUUUUAGUGGCCCUUCAAAGGUAAGAAAGGAACUUCAUCUACUAUGUUCAGUAUCUUACUUCAUUUUUUUUUUCAAGUAAGAAAGUAAUUGUUUAAAACUUACAAUAAUAUAAUACCUCAACACUGGAAACAUCACGUACGGAACAUAGAGCUUUUAAAGCAGAGAAGCUGUUUCGUGAUUUAUUUGAUUCCUCCUGAAGAUCUUUCAGGCUAGGAGAAUUUGCUGCAACAUACUGAGAAAAAUCCAUGUGGUCUCGAAGAUGUUCUGCACAAUAUAAUGAGCAAAAUGUCAAGAUUUAUGAUUUGUAUGCACGAUUCUCUUUCGUCCAUUAUUAGUAAAAAGUUUACCUAACUUUAUAAACAAAAUUACAGAGUUCGAGUUAGCCUGGAAAGCCUUUCAAAACUUUUGUCACUUUGAUACAACAGAAA
rnacentral:lncRNA from 1 species